rnacentral:rRNA from 1 species
UACAGAGGGGGCGAGCGUUGUUCGGAAUUACUGGGCGUAAAGGGCGCGUAGGCGCCUGCUAUGUCGAACGUGAAAUCCCCGGGCUCAACCCGGGAACUGCGUCCGAAACUGGCAGGCUUGAAUCCGGGAGAGGGAUGUGGAAUUCCUGGUGUAGCGGUGAAAUGCGCAGAUAUCAGGAAGAACACCAAUGGCGAAGGCAGCUCUCUGGGGACGGUACUGACGCUGAGACGCGAAAGCGUGGGGAGCGAACAGG